rnacentral:rRNA from 1 species
AACGAACGCUGGCGGCAGGCUUAACACAUGCAAGUCGAACGCCCCGCAAGGGGAGUGGCAGACGGGUGAGUAACGCGUGGGAACAUACCCUUUCCUGCGGAAUAACUCCGGGAAACUGGAAUUAAUACCGCAUACGCCCUACGGGGGAAAGAUUUAUCGGGGAAGGGUUGGCCCGCGUUGGAUUAGCUAGUUGGUGGGGUAAAGGCCUACCAAGGCGACGAUCCAUAGCUGGUCUGAGAGGAUGAUCAGCCACAUUGGGACUGAGACACGGCCCAAACUCCUACGGGAGGCAGCAGUGGGGAAUAUUGGACAAUGGGCGCAAGCCUGAUCCAGCCAUGCCGCGUGAGUGAUGAAGGCCUUAGGGUUGUAAAGCUCUUUCACCGAUGAAGAUAAUGCCGGUAGUCGGAGAAGAGGCCCCGGCUAACUUCGUGCCAGCCGCCGCCGUAACAC